rnacentral:lncRNA from 10 species
CCCUUUGAAUGAAAACCCCUCAGAAAAAAUUCCAUGUGCUAUGAUGAAUUGCUGUCCACUCAACCAACCCAAGACCAGCAGGAACAAAGCCUACUCUGAAAAAGCCUACAAAGUUGUGUUCAUUGACACAUUGCAAAGAGACCACACACCAGGAGAACCAUAGGGUAUCUCCCCAAACAAGGAAAAGAAAAGAAUUACAGUAUGGGGCAAGGGGAGGAAUGGAAUUUAAGUGAAAUGUAUUUUGACAGACUCAAAGCAAGAUAGGUCUAAAUGUAAAGGUAUUAUUUUAAGUCCUGGACUAUGAAGCAGACCCAGGAACCUGUUUGCUGGGAAGCAAUAAGAUUAUUAUCCAUAGCUGUGGAAUACUGUGUCCAAAAACCCCUCCUCCAAAGCUCUGUACCUAGGGUUU